UCAGUGUAUAUUUCUUAAGUACAAGGACACACUCUUACAUAAACACAGUCCAAAAUCAGCAAGAAUAACAUAUGGAGAAUACGAUGAUUUAAUCAAGAGUCCACAUUCCAAUUGUUCAGUCACCUAUAAGGCAGCACUCCCAAUACCUUUGAUGGCAAAUCAGAUGCAGCAAAGAGUGCAUCUUCCUAGGAAAAAAAUUAAGCACUUUCAAAAGAUGCAGUAACUAGAAUACUGUUAUUUUUUA
rnacentral:lncRNA from 1 species